UCCAGGUUAUCCCUGGCGGUCUCCUGAGAGUGCAUCCUUGCGGAUUAGCAACACAGGACAAGGGUUGCGCUCGUUGCGGGACUUAACCCAACAUCUCACGACACGAGCUGACGACAGCCAUGCAGCACCUGUGUUACGGCUCCCUUUCGGGCACCCCCGCCUCUCAGCAGGGUUCCGUACAUGUCAAGGGUAGGUAAGGUUUUUCGCGUUGCAUCGAAUUAAUCCACAUCAUCCACCGCUUGUGCGGGUCCCCGUCAAUUCCUUUGAGUUUUAAUCUUGCGACCGUACUCCCCAGGCGGUCGACUUCACGCGUUAGCUGCGUUACCAAGUCAAUUAAGACCCGACAACUAGUCGACAUCGUUUAGAGCGUGGACUAC
rnacentral:misc_RNA from 1 species